rnacentral:rRNA from 1 species
AUGCACGCUGCCAGAAUGCUUCACCCCUGCCAGUCAACUUGAAUUUGGGUUUUUAACUUCGGUUUGGGUGGCGGACGGGUGAGUAACGCGUAAAGAACUUGCCUCACAGCUAGGGACAACAUUUGGAAACGAAUGCUAAUACCUAAUAUUAUGAUAAUAGGGCAUCCUAUAAUUAUGAAAGCUAUAAGCGCUGUGAGAGAGCUUUGCGUCCCAUUAGCUAGUUGGAGAGGUAACGGCUCACCAAGGCGAUGAUGGGUAGCCGGCCUGAGAGGGUGAUCGGCCACAAGGGGACUGAGACACGGCCCUUACUCCUACGGGAGGCAGCAGUGGGGAAUAUUGGACAAUGGACCAAGAGUCUGAUCCAGCAAUUCUGUGUGCACGAUGAAGUUUUUCGGAAUGUAAAGUGCUUUCAGUUGGGAAGAAAGAAAUGACGGUACCAACAGAAGAAGUGACGGCUAAAUACGUG